rnacentral:rRNA from 1 species
UACAGAGGGUGCAAGCGUUAAUCGGAAUUACUGGGCGUAAAGCGUGCGCAGAUGGUUACGUAAGUCGGGUGUGAAAGCCCCGGGCUCAACCUGGGAAUUGCAUUCGAGACUGCGUAGCUAGGGUGCGGAAGAGGGAGGCGGAAUUUCCGGUGUAGCGGUGAAAUGCGUAGAUAUCGGAAAGAACACCAACGGCGAAAGCACUCUGCUGGGCCGACACUGACACUGAGAGACGAAAGCUAGGGGAGCGGAUGGG